ensembl:lncRNA
AUGUUUAACUUACAAAAUUUUAGCAUCCAGCCUGAGCCACAGAUGUUGGGCUGUUGCCAUCUGGGGAUUUCAGUUUCAGCCACCUGUGGAAUCAAAUGCACUUGGCAAACGAGAUAACUCUGCUCCUGACCUAGGGGUGUGUCUCCUAUGCAGAAGGCCCACACCCUACCUGACUUCUGCACUUGAUUAUGACUGCAAGAGAAAAACCCACCUGGCUAGGAAGCGGCCUCGAAUUGGGUACAGAUGUCACACUCUGCACAUCCCAAAGCCCUCCCAUACCCCAGAGACUCUGGUUGUUUUACAAACAGAAGCAGAAGCAUAUAGUUUCCUUUCUGUUCCAUCCCCAUGAAUCCUGAUGUUUGGAGACAUUCCUAAAGAGCUCAAGCUGCUGCUACGAUUAUUUCUCUCUUGCUUUUUCAUGGGGAGGGACAGAAAAGAAAAGUGUCAGCUCUGUGCUAAGCUGAGAGAAAGUGAGGCCCAGUUCCCAGACUCAGGGGAAGUUCUAGGCCAGGCGGACAUGCCUGCCUGAGAGCAGACGUGGCCCCAUGGGAGCUGAGUGUGAGAACCUGCUGAUUGCUAAGCAGUGUGGGAAAGUGGGAGGAUGGGCAGGCCAAGCAGACUGGCUUUAGUCACAGUGAAGGCAGUGGGAAACAAACAGCCUGAGAGAGCAGGAAGGAGUGGCCAAGGCUGGGAACUUCUGUGUGCGCACGCACAGCACUACAUCAGAGCAAGUGAGUUACAGUAUUUGGGAGAGGAGGGCACUCGGAUCAAAGCAGAGCAAUCAAGAGAUUCAUAAGGAAACAACUAAUCUGCCACUCACUGGAAGGGAUGCAGCAUCCCCACUUCACUCACAGAGAUGCAGCCUGGGAUGCUUUCUGUGUACAAAGCUCCGAGAUAGCCUGAAAUGCUGCCCGGUGCUGGUGUGUUUCUCUGAGCAAGAGGCUGAGGCUCGCCCAUCACCGUUCUUGCAGGCUGGUUUAAAGUCAUCUAGAACCUGCAGGUCAAUGAAAUGCAGUGGGGCAAUCCAUGCUUGGAGUAAGCAGAUACAGUUACCACUGGAACCUAAUGUAAGCCAGGAUUCAACUUGGCGCAAUACCUGAAUGAAUCAGAAAUGAUGGUCCCUGAGAACUACAAAAGAAUGCACAUCUUCCAUUCUCCCAUGCUCAGCUCUGUAUUCAGCUAAUCCAUCCUAACAGCUACCCCAUCUUUUCUUUUCUUUUCUUUUCUUUUCCCAUCUCCUCCUUUUGGGAGUGGCUCAUCUCACUGGCAUGCCAAAAACUCAGACACUGCACAGCUUUGAUGGCGAAGGUUUACAGAUGUGCCUGGAGCAGCUGGGUGGUGGCUGAGCUCUAUGGCAUUGGAAGAGCCUGGUGAGCUGCUAGCCAUCAAUUUAACCAAUAUCAACUUGUUCUGACAUCAACUUCAUUCACAAAUCCUGGACAGUUCUUGGGUUGAGCAUUAGGUUCCCCAUGCCUGUUAUGAGCCCUUCUAGCUGCUCACACCUGUGGCAAGAAUGGUCCGUCCUCUUUCCGUUAUUCUAGUACUGCAGAAUCAAAUGGAUAAAUCCCCAGCGUUUCUGCCUUGGGGUCACGUAUGAGAUUCCAUCAUGGUUGGCUUAGCAGAAUUGCGUGAGUCAGGAGGCCUGCAUAGCUAAAAGCAUCUCCAUUAAAUUUGUUCCCAUCCAUUUGGUCUCCUCUGCCUUGCCGUCUGCACUGGGAGCUGGGUUCUGAAGCACUGUGUGAUCAGUAGGCCUGUGCAGCAGUCCCAAUUGGCUUCAUAUUUUUCUCUCUGCACCAGCAGCAGUUGCAACCACAUGAAUGGUUUGAUGGUUGCAGACAUACGGCUUUCUUGCUACAGCAUGAGCUUUUUCUCACCAGUUGCUCUCACACUACACUGUCUUGUGUCUCAAAGCGGCAGUCACAGCGUGGUCUAGGCUGGGAAUCUGACAGUCUCUCCCUUGUCAUUCAAAACAAACAGAGAUGUAAAAAAGCAGCUUCUCCGCAGUGUCCAGAGAGACGUGUGAACAAAGCAAUGGAGAGAUUAAGUGGGUGAAGUGCCAAGAAACUGGGAUGGGGGCCUACAGGACUAUAACAAUAAAUAAAUAAUGGUCAGAGUGUUUGUAUAUAUU